AUUCGUGCUUCCGUACCAGUAGUGUUGGUACUGUUAACACAAUCUAUUGCAGUACAAGUUGCCGUUUUAACCAAUCGAAAAUGCAAUUACCACAUCCUGUUGACAAGACCAAAUGAAAAUGUUCAGUUGAUACUAUCGAGGGAUGGAAGUGGAUAUAUUCCUGAUAUUGAUGGCUGCUAUAAUGUGAUAAUUCUUAAUCAUACUGGCCACACAUUUCAAAGAAUAGAAGUGAGCGUUUCCUUAGAGACCUUGUCUGAUUGUCAAUAUAAAGUAGAAAUUUAUUCAGGAGAUCGAGCAAAUAAUAACAAAUUUGAGACACUUGACUGCUUCUCCAAUAAUUUAUGGACUGGUCAUUUUCCCACCAAAACAAUUUAUUUGCGAAACGUUCGUCAAACCAUAAUAGAAGUUAAUAACACCAUUGCCAAAUAUAACAAAAUGGUGGCCAAUAUCACCUAUCGUUUCUGCACGUCGUGCUAUAAUGAGCUCCCAUAUAUUUUCACCUCAAAAAAGAGACUUAUGGAGUAUUGUGGGAGUGAAGUUUGUGUCGCCGAUGAAGAUGAAGAAUAUGUAUACACGUUCCCAGACAGGAACAAUCAUAGAAUGUGUCCACCAUGUCGGUCUAUUACUUUUUCUGUCAAAAAUUCAGUACAAAUAUGUUUUGAAUCAUUUACAUACCGGUUGAUAUGGGAUGCAGGGAGCUGUCAUGUCAAAGUGGAAAUUGAUGACCAUCCAGCAAUGUUUUUAAAAAACAGUUUGAUGAAAAAAUGGUGUCUUCCUUGGAAUGUAAAAAACAAAAGUGUUACAUUUACUUUUGGUGAAGAUUCCAGUUGGAAUUGCAUACAUUCACCAGGAUGUCGGGAUGGUUCAAGAUGGAAUUGCCUAACGACACCAAGAUGUGAUGUUAAAAUUCGAAUUAUUCCAGAAAACAGAGAUUCUAACUUAUGUCCAAUGGCAAGUUCUAAUCGAAGAGAAUGGUCUUCAUGGACAAAAGAUUUUAGUGACAAUGAUAAGGACUCCUCAUUGAGUACGAGGGAUACACUGAUACUUCUCUUUACAUUGAUGUCGUGUGUCGUGGUUUUGAUAUGUUGGUACAUGUUUUUUAGAUUUAAAUGU